GCUUAACAGGAGCUGACAGAUAAGGGGUAGGAGGCGUGGAGAAGUCAGCCAGCCUAAGAUUGCAUUUCUUAAUUCUGGACUGUACAGUAUAAUCAGCUUCCUUGAUGGUUCAGAGGCAAAGAAUCCACCUGCAAUGCUAGAGAUCAGGAUUUAAUCCCUGGGCUGGGAAGAUCCCAGAGGAGGAAAUGGCAACCCACUUCAGUAUUCUUCUCUGGAAAAUCCCAUGGCCAGAGGAGCCUGGCAGGCUGCAGUCCACGGGGGCAUGCAAGAGUGGGACACAACUGAGCACGGGAGCACUAGGGCACAAAGGGACACAAAGAUAUUUCAAAAUCCUGCCAACACAACUCAGGACCAAGCUUAGACUUUCUCUGGGCCACAAGUGACUGACGUGAAACAUCUUUCUUCUUAAGAUGGUGACUUAUCCAAUAGAUCACUAUAGAAAAUCACCUAUGACGAAUGGAAAUCAUAAAGAAUUUCCCCCCAGAGUAAAUGACAUAGACACUUUCCCUGCAAUUCAACUACUCUACCUCUUAGUGACGUUCUUUAUUAUUGGAGUAUCCUGGAGGGAAUAUCACAAAAAUGAAAACAUGAAGAAAGAAAAAGGUAUGUUACCUUCAUCCAUGUACAAAGAUUUGACUAAUAACCUAAUUGAUUCUAAUUCUUAAUUCAUUUGUAAGUUGUAUAAAUUUAUUGGAAAUAAAUGAGCUUAUCUAAUCUUUUAUUAAGAGAAAGAAGUAAAAGGACAAUUUAUCUCCUCCCAAAUGGAAAAUAAAUAAUUGAAGAAAAGUCAGACCUGAUUUAUAUAAAAGCUAUGUUCUUGGUACAUUGGCAUUAUGUAAAAUGGAAUUUUGUCCAUAAAAGAAUUACUAUUCAUUUCUCUGUAAUUUUAUUUGUGAAU
ensembl:lncRNA